rnacentral:ncRNA from 1 species
GUAUUUCGUUUGAGAUACAGUUAAAACGGGAAUCCGGUGCCCCUAAAUUUUUGGGAAAGUCCGGAGCAGUCCCCGCUGCUGUAAGCUCCAACAGCUUUUGAUCCUUCAUAAAACCACUGUCCUGAUAAUGUUCGGGGCGGGAAGGUUGUCAAAAGUGGAGUAAGCCAGAAGACCUGCCGGUAUUG